AGCUCGGCGAUCAUGCGGUGCCCCUCCUCGGCAUCACCAAACCCUCCUCCUCGCUUCCAUCCAUGGCUUCCCUCCGCACCGACAUCAACAUGGUUCCGGCCCGCGAACGGUCCAGUGGCGCCGCCGGGUAGUCGUCCUUAUCGAAGAAGCCGAACACGUUUGGGAUCAACAAGUGGAAUGCUAUCGCCCUCUGGGCCUGGGUUGAAGCUGAGCCAUGCGAGUCAAAUUAUCAGCCACAAUGUGAAGACGGGAUUCGAUCCGAGGACCUUACGAACAACUGUCAAGGCUUAACCUAGCCAACACAUUCGAUUCUGGUUUGGUUUCAAAUAGGUCCAUUGAGCCAGCCAGUGAGUCAUACAUUCUUGUAUAUGUUCCAAACAUCAAAUGCUUCGCUGCCUCCGUCUUCUGUGCAAUUCUUUCUGUUGACUCUAUGCUCAUCUGCUUAGGUGUUUGCAAUCACGCGUUCCACUUUAAUCGUAUCAAUGGGUGGUGGCUCAAAGCACUCCUUUUAUACCACUUCCCUUCCUAUGCAAUUUUACUCCCUCAGACAAUUGUGAGUAGCUCAUUUAUAUAUGGUACAUGAAUCUGCUGCUGCUGGUUAA